GGGUAUAUAAAAACAGCAUCUAAACAGAGACCUCCUUUAGUGUGAGUGCAAUCAAUCUGUGUCAAUGAAAAUUUGAUGUUGGUCGAUUCAUUAGGAUGCUUCACUACAAAAUCUCCCACAUGGUAGUGAACCCAGUUCCCAGGAUUGUCCAGGAAGCAUUGGGACACAGCAUGUUGACCAUCCGAAGUUGUUAGCUCAAACCUCACAGGUUUUACAUCCCAACCAUGGAUGUGCUCCGUGUUGCAAACCCUGCGACCCAUUCUCUUUGUGGACUUGCCAAGCUGCAGUC
rnacentral:misc_RNA from 1 species